rnacentral:lncRNA from 1 species
GGCGGCGCAGGGACGCGGCUGCGACUGGAGCGGGCGAGCCGGCGCCCGCUCGUUCCUCGGACCUCUGCAGGACGGGGCUCGUCGGGGAGGACGUAGCGCAGCCGCUCCUGGAGCUGGUGACAACAGGGAGCGUUGUCGCGUCUCUGUCGCCUGUCUUUAGGAGCAAAGCGUCGCCAGCGUGAUUUCAAGAAGAUAAAGCAGCUGUCGGACCCACUAAAAUCGCGACACGCAGCACUGAGCGUUAACGCGAGUGUUAGCAGCGUGGCAUUGGCGAGGCCGCGCGUGCUCUGCCGUCCGCGCCGGCCCUGCACGUCCGUUCAUCUCGGUCAAGGCUGCUGGGAGAGCAGGGAGACGUCGGCACGGCGCCUUUCCCAGCCGGUGCCCCGCCAUGGGGUGCAGCCGGGCCUCGGCGUCGCCCCGGCGAGGCGGCAGCCGCCACCAGGCCUGCGCGGCCUCCUCGGCCGUCGCCUCGCCGCUCGGCCCGGCCCCUCUGGAGACCCACUGGAGACGCUCCCAGAGAAGGUGGCGGGAGCGGAGGAGCGAGGGGAAAGCAGGAGGGAGGAGGAGGCCUCGCCAGCUGGAGCCCAGCGACAGGAAACCCAAGUCUUUAGCCGCCUUCCCGCGUUGUUCGCAAACCGGCGGUGGGUACCAGCGAUCGCCGCUGGAGAAGGCGAGGAAGUCUCCGCACGCCUGGGUUUCCCCUCUGUGCGAAUCUUUUGAGGUGGAGCCUGGAACAAGAUGGCAAGAUAUCGGUGUGAAACCUCCUGAUUGAAGUGACAUGGGGAACACUGCUACUGAAACACGCUGUGUCUGCGAGACAUACCCACGCGGCAAAACGAGGACAAGUGCACCGGGCUCGAUGUUAUGUAACUCGCAUAGGACUCUCUCUCCUGGCAAGAAAAUGAUCCAAAACAUGAAGACUAGCAUUUAUGAAUUAUUUACUCAUACAAACGCACAUCUAGCAAAUACCUCCCACGUACUAACAGCCAUAUCUGGAAAUCAAUUAAUGUCAGUCUAUGCAGGUAAGAGACAAUUUUGUCCACUGGAUAGUAGGCAGCAGCAGGAGAAUAGCCAGUUCACAUACAUUUGCAAAUGUAACGUUUGAAGUAGUUGAGAGGGAAACUGCUGAACGCCGUCCUCGCAUACCAGCGUGUAGCAAGGUCACAUUAGCAUGCAUUAGUGAAGGUCUGUAAACCUCACUUUUGAAUUAACAUUCUCAAGCUUGUAGCACACCCUCAAAGGUACUGAGUCAGGUUUUAAUAUUUCCUGAUGGUAGAGAUUGAGAGAGUAAACACGGAUAACUGCAUUUAAAAGCAUAUUACUUUCUCUAUUAGCAUGCAGCUUUGGCACAUGUUGAGACUGGACUUUCAAACUUACAUGUUUUAGAUUAAGGUUUUUUUAAAUAGAUUUCUAUCUGAAGUGCAAUUGCUUUGCCUGAUCUACAAAUCCUUAAUUUGAGACAGCUCAGUAGAAAGAGGUUAGUUACUGGUUAUCAGUAUUUUCUUCAUUCACCUUUAGACUCAAUUCAGAUAAGCUCUGUAAAAGGUACACCACUUUCUUAAGCACCAGCAAAAUCAGAUGCAUGUAAAUAUGCUAUUAUAAGAAAUGCUAUAUUAAAAUACUUCUUCUAGUUCUUUGAUGAAGAAUCUGGAAUUAGUUAGUCAUUCACUUGUACAGGCCAAUGUCAGCUUUAAAAACACAAAUUCUCUCUCAGUAGUUUAAAUGUUGAUUUGAGUCCAGUUUUAGCCUCCAAUAGGCCAGAGAAAUUAUACUAGUUCCAGUUUAAAAGAAUGGAAUUAUUUCCUUCCAUACUACUUAAGAUGAAUGUCUACAUAUAUAUUAAAUAGUAUAUUAUGUAUGCAAAUUAAGUAUUGCAGCAUUAUGCCAUUUAAUUUUCUCAGUUUUUGAAAAAUUCAGCAGUACAAGACAUCAUUCAAAUUGAUUUUUUUUUCCUGAAUAAAAGUUUGCCAUUAGUAAUAAUAACCUUGUUU